GUGACGGGAAAGGCAGUUCUGUUCGUACCUGAGAGUCAGAAAGGUGAGAGAUGUCACAUCCAGAAGAUCUUCUCUCCCCGACAAAAGAAGAUUCAUGGAAGGGAUACCAUUUGAGAAUUACUCAUCCUGAGCAGAGCACCUUCAAAGAAAACUGGACCUGGAAGGGGAGAAGAAGGCCUUGGUUUUGCUGAGAUCCUGGCAAGGAAGCACAUACACAGGACUUUACUCUUAUCUGGGUGGCCUAGAUCCUGGAUCCUAGAGAGUUGACCUCCUUGACACAUUAGAGCUUUGUGCUUCCUGAAUAGAAGUUAGUCCACUGAGAUCUGUAGAGCACUAAGAAGAAAGCUCGUACCUGUAAGAACCUACUGGUCCUCAGGUCCCGAACUAGCUCCCAAAACGCUGAAGAGUUUGGAAGAGUUCUCUUUAUCUCUUU
rnacentral:lncRNA from 1 species